AAGAAUCAGCCCAGAACUAUACGUGAGGAGCUGGUCAAUGCCGUGUAGAGAGCUGGGACCAUCGUUUCCAAG